AGAAGCGGCCGGGGCAGGGACUUGACUGAGCCAAGAGUAUCCCCUGCGGACCGCUCCGCACGCACCGAGUUACAGAGAUUUCCCUCCCCGAGUCCGUGGUUGAGAUUAGAAAUGUUCAAAAAUGUUAUAUGGCUAGUAGAAAAACACAGAGCGGGGGAAAAAAUGCAACUCAGCUACAAGAUUGGAACUAAGAGGCUAUAAAAUAGAGGCCCUCAGCACAAUGAAAUCAGUCUGCUAUAAAAGGCGACACAUGCCAGUUUUUCCUCCCCAAUGGCAGAUGCCACACCCUAAAGCAGACAGAAGGCACUGCAGUCUGUGCAAGGGAAGCACAACACAAAGCAACAACCAUGGUUCAAUUUUUUUAGAUUGCAAAUAAUGUUGAGAUUCCUUUUGCCAUCUUUGCUCAGAUGAUGAGUGGUAGUGUUUGUUAAAUUCAAAUGCUCCUUUCCAAAAGCUCUCAUUGUAUGCAUGAAUUAUGAAUUUAUUAUAAUAUAAUGUAAAAAAGCUCUAAUUGCCAUGCAUAUUAUCUGCUUCAAAAUGAUUGCAUUGAUAUUUGAUAUCGCAAGUGCAUGGUUUCAACUUCAGUUCCAUUUUCGUUGUUUCUUUGAUUUAAUUAUUUUCUAUAAACCAAUGUUGUCCAA